rnacentral:tRNA from 1 species
AGUUUAAUAACAUUAAAUUGCAAAUUUAAAAUAACUAUAAAAUCAUAAAGAU